rnacentral:rRNA from 1 species
CAGUCGCCACGGUAAUACGGAGGGAGCUAGCGUUGUUCGGAAUUACUGGGCGUAAAGCGCGCGUAGGCGGUUACUCAAGUCAGAGGUGAAAGCCCGGGGCUCAACCCCGGAACUGCCUUUGAAACUAGGUGACUAGAAUCUUGGAGAGGUCAGUGGAAUUCCGAGUGUAGAGGUGAAAUUCGUAGAUAUUCGGAAGAACACCAGUGGCGAAGGCGACUGACUGGACAAGUAUUGACGCUGAGGUGCGAAAGCGUGGGGAGCAAACAGGAUUAGAUACCCGCGUAGUCCCUGUCUCUUAUAC